UGGGGAAUAUUGCACAAUGGACGGAAGUUUGAUGCAGCGACGCCGCGUGGAGGGUGUAGGCCUUCGGGUUGUGAACUCCUUUUUCUCGCGAAAAAGGCACAGUUUUGGCUGUGUUGAUGGUCGUGGGGGAAGAAGCGCCGGCUAACUACGUGCCAGCAGCCGCGGUAAUACGUAGGGCGCGAGCGUUGUCCGGAUUUAUUGGGCGGAAAGAGCUCGUAGGUGGUUCGUCGCGUCUGUCGUGAAAGCCAGCAGCUUAACUGUUGGUCUGCGGUGGGUACGGGCGGGCUUGAGUGCGGUAGGGGUGACUGGAAUUCCUGGUGUAGCGGUGGAAUGCGCAGAUAUCAGGAGGAACACCGAUGGCGAAGGCAGGUCACUGGGCCGUUACUGACACUGAGGAGCGAAAGCGUGGGGAGCGAACAGG
rnacentral:rRNA from 1 species